rnacentral:rRNA from 1 species
ACUUGACCUCAAAUCGAGUAGGAUUACCCGCUGAACU